UGAAAAACAAAAGGAUCACAUUUUCAUGAUCUUACCACAAUAAUAAAUAAAUGCACCCAAAUAUCACUAACCAGAGUUUUUGUCUUUGUGUAUGAAGUGAAAAUUUAGGUGCACAUUUUAUUGAUGAAUAUUUUAUUUCUUGACAUGAAAAAAGGGAAUGAAAUGAGUACCACUGCAGAGCUCUGUGACAGUCCAUGCACAAGUCAAAUGACUGUGUAGAAGCAUAGAUAUAUUUGCUAUGACUCAACAAGGCCACUCCCAAAUGCUUGCAGAUGGACUCUUCCAUGAGGUAGGGAAAGGCUAUUGUAGCCCUUUUUUCACCUCAAGUUAUAUGAGUGCAUCCUCCAUUACACCAGAUGGAUGUGCUCCCAUUUUAAGUUGCCUUUCCAUAUGUUUGUCUGCCCUGGACAGUGGCACACAUCACAUGAGAAGCAAAAUAGUAAAGGCUUUUUAUGUGACAAUAUCGCAAUAAAUCUAGAAAACCUACAUCAAUAUUUUGUAAACUGAUUAAGUUUUUGUACUGGUAAAGUCCAUGAGAAUGUACUGGGGAGAAGAGUCCUGGGAAUGUUAACAAGCGGUGACUUCCAAGGAAUACCAUAACAUCAGGGUUUUUUUCAUAUAAAAAUAGACUGAAUGUCCAAGAAAAGGAAGCCACAGUGCAUCUGGGACUGGCAGAGCAAGGCUUACCGCUCCACUGGCCCCCAAACUCUGAAAUGAAAAACAUAAGGAAGAGUGAUAGAAAAGAAGAUGAAACUUACUUUCCUGUCUUGUGACAGGUUCAUAAGAAAGGAUGCAGUCCUCUUGGCCUCCUGGUGAGAGAAGAAAGAGAAGAGAUUGAAGCCGAUGAGUAACAUGUCAGGCAGAGAAGAAAUCCCUGCCAACAUCUUCUCCACCAGGCAGAAGUUUGAAAUACCAGUAAUGUGUGGGAAAAUCCAGCCAACAGGAUGCUGCUGGAGUGAGAGCAGAGCUUGUGCAGAUGGAAACCACUCUAGAAGGAAGGUGACUGCCAUGGACAGCUGUUGCUCUAGCACUACUUUUUGUUCCAAGUAUAUACAUUCCAGCUAAAUUUUCCAAAUUGUUUCGAUUACCUUUCUUGCACCUCAAAAAAUACACUUUAUUUUAAGCUAUUACCCAGCCAGUGAAGGACUGGCUACCUGGCCUGUCUUAUGUGCUUUUGUGGAUAUGUUCCAAAUAUUUUGCUGCAAGUGGGCACUCCUAUUAAGGCUGCUGUUUGGGAGAGUUCAUCAAUCUACAUUCUCCUCUGGGCUUUUACCUGAGCUCUCCCUGAAAUAUACAGGUCUGGAUGAGAUUUGACUUGUGCAAACUUUUGAAAAUUUAACCCUUUGAUUCAUUUCUGAUUGUAAAGUCAGUCAGGAGAAAAAGCAUCUUGUAUCUCAGUAUAAAUGUAAUAAAAAUAAAGUAUGCCUUUCGUCCCAAGUAGAGGGCACAUUAACAAUAAAACAGUUCAGAACUGGAUCUUAGCAAUUCAAGAUUGCCUACCAUUUUCUUGUGACUCUGGCAAUUGCUUUCCAAGGAAACCUUUUCAGUACAAAAGAAUACAAACUAAUUUACCAUUUCUGAAUAGGAUAAGGUUAGCUGUUUUGCUGAAACAAACCAGUGUUUAUCAACAGAGCUGAACUGCUAUGUGUUAUAUCAGGAGUAGUAAACAUGAGCUAUGAUACCAUUGAUUACCUGAAUGCAUGUGGGUGCUUAGCACAAGUGCUGAGUGACUGGUGGAAAACUUGAUUUGUUAAGCAAAUGGCUUGAAUAAAUGAAACAAUUGGGUGAUCUAGCAAGCACUCUGUCAUUUUAGUUAACUUUUAUUACAUUUCUAGUAAUUUAUUUAAUGCCUUUUUUUUUCUGUUUUUCAGAACAUCCAAAAAAUAUUGAUAUUUGUUAAAUUUAUGGGCAUUACUAAGAAUUACCCAGAACUACAAUCUGCCACUUGGUUAUAUGAUCACACGGAGUCUGUAAAUCCCAGCAAAUCAGGUUGCAGGGUUGGGACCCCCACCUACAUGGUAGCAGUGACAUUCAGUGGCAGUGCCUAAGCAGUGAAGGUCUAUCUUACCUUUUUUUAAGACUGCAGUAUGAAUUAGGAAAUCUGUACUGUCAAAACUUAAGGGCUCAAUAAAAUGUCUGGGACUGUUUUUUAGCCAUCCAUACAGGCAUGCAGAAAUGCAAGUAAAAAUUGUGACCUUAUAAAAAGGAUGCCUCUUACGGAUUUGACUAUGGCUGUGCAGUAACUUUACUCUUAAAAGAUCACCAAGAAACUUCCCCCCACCCCCACUGAAAUGCACUUUUGUCACUAAAUGGAAUAAUCCUGACUUGCAUAGGCUAUCCAAAGCCAGGUUUAGUUUUAUGUCCCCAAUACAUCAUAAGUAACAACCUUUCUCCCUUCUCUUAUAAAGUUUGCCAGUUUUCUUUUAUGGCUUUGUACUCAAGACAUGGUCAUAAAUUUGAAUUCCAAGCCAUUUGCUCCAGUGAUCUUUUUAACAUUAACAAAAGAGUAGCAAGGAGAGAAACAAAAUAAAAGAAACAAAACAAGCAAUGCAAAAUAAAAGGACUCUAAUGAAAGCAGUAACUUACUGUAGCUACUUUCACUAUCGCUGGCAUUAGAAGAAACAUGUUCUGCAAGAACAGUACAGCAAAUUAAAGAACAUAACCAAGCACCACAGAGCUGCAGAAACUUAAAAGAACUGCCACAGUCAUGCAAAGGUAGUUAUGCAGAGCAGAAAUAAAAGCUGUGCAGUGACAUCACCUGAAAAUGCUCAGAUAUUUCACAGAGGUAAAAUGAAAGCUUACUCUCUUGUGGCAUUUCAGAAAGAGAUUGUAUGUAUUAACUACUGAUAUGUGCCACUUUUUGUGAUAGACAGUAGAUGACAUCUCUGAUAACUUCAUUUCAAAGUAUAUUAUGAUCAACUCGGAUCUCACUUGAUGUCUCCAGCAAUUUAUUGAAAUCCAAGUGUCUGCUCAUAUUCUGCACUAUCAAUGAUGUGCAUCAUUAAUUCAUUGAAACUAUUCCUGCUAAACUUCUAGCUUGUGAAUGUCUUUAAUCACUGUGCACUAUCCCAAAGGAUUGUGCAGAAUGAUUAACAGAUUAACAUGAAAGUUAUUUUUGAUAUAAAAUAUUGUAAAUGUAUCCCAUCUAUCCUGUCCAAAAAGGGGAAAAAUUAAAGAAAACAAAGCCAAAGAAAAAACUAAGGAAAAAAAAGGGAAGAAGUCUUUUUCCAGAAAUUGUCUAGCCUCAGGAUUUGGAGGUUGAAAACCUUUAGCAGACCAGUGUGGAUGGGUGAACAUGAAUAUAAGAACUAGCAUGAUGGAUCAGUCUUGUAGUUUGUCAAGCCAGGUGUCCUGUUUCUAUUACCAUAUGAUUGAAAAUAAUUCCAAAACUGUAGUCAGAAGACUAUUUAUGGACAGUAAGAUCAUGCUAUAUGCUCUCCAGGAGGUCUGCAGGACCACAUUUAACAGUGUUUUUUCUGGUAGAAAUGCUGAUUACUUUGCACCUGAAAGAUCAUUUGGCAAUUGAAAUUUUUCAGCUGGUCUAGGACAUUUAGAAGCCAAUGGUAUAAUGGCUGUACAUCUGGGAGCACCCUGGGUUAAUGAGAAAGACAGGAACAGUGCUGAAAUUCCCUGCAAGGUGCUGCCUUUCCUCCAUGUACCAAUCACAUGGCUUAGGAUUCAUAGAUUGGGAAUGAUGGGACUACUGGAGCAGCAAAAAUGAGAAGGAGUAUCUGAUAUAAGCAGCAAUGGGAAACCUUGAUCUUGGGCUUAGGAAGAAGCUUUUAAAAAUUCAACUUAAAUUUUGAAGAAAACAGCAUAAUGACUUUCAGACAUUUCAUAGCAAGUUAACAAGGGUUAUCUCAAAAAUGAUGUGCUAUACAGCUGAACAACUUUAUUUAAAAAUAACAAAUAUCCUUUGUAGUAAGAACUGUCAUUUAUAAGCAUGUCUGAGUUGAUAACUAACAAAAUUUGGAUUGAUGGGAAUGUCUGGAGGUGUACCAGUAAUUUAAAACUAGGUGCAAUAUUCAUACAGGCAUUACAGCCUAUACAACACCUCAGUGUUACUUUGUUCCAUAUCAAUUUGCAGAAUUCAGGUAACUUUCAAAUGGCUGGAUGUUAUGGAUGAUUCUCUUUGUAAGGACACAUAUUCAGGAAGGUUAUCAGAUCUGAAGCAUUUUACUUUUCUCUAGUAGGGAAGGAUUUGCAUUUGUUGCUAAUGAGUUGCUAUGACACUUAAAUGAUCACAGAAUUGUUAAAAUUCAGGUGGCAGUGACAUUUGCUGUCUAUCACUGACAAAGCCAGUCUUGCAGAACUGUUCUUCCUGGUACAAGAGAUAAAGCUUUCAUGUUUAAAUUGUGAGCCACUGCAUGGCAUUAAGUUAAACCAUUAAAAUGUUCCUUCAACAAUUCAGUCAGAAACAGAAUAAGCUCCAAAACUGUGUGCAUGGAUGUGCAUUCCUGCAAUUAAAAAGCACACACAAGACAGUAGGCAAUGCAGCAUUAACACACAUUUUGCUCCAAUUACUUGGUGCUUAAGAAAAGGAAAAACAACUGAGGAACAAGUAGCCAAAUGCAUGCAAGUGGCAUUUUGUUUACAUCAUUUAGCUCUGAAUACAGAAUUUAAUAUAGCUAUAUAUGUAGAAGUCAGCAGCAAAUAUUUCAUUCUGUACAGUUUUUCUGGUUCACAUUUUGAGGAAGAAAAAUUGUUUCUGAGCAAUUAUCUGACACGUUAUACACUCUGCAACACCAAGUCUUGAGACAGGAUUGCUGCAUCAGAAAAAAAAAUUAUUAAGGUUUUGUGACGGAGAACAGGUUGCUAAUGGUGAAAACUGGUCGAAAAUUAGCUUUGGAGAAUGCAUGAUCUUCUCUAGUCUGCAAAUGACUUCUUCCAUUAAUAACAAAUACUAAUCUAAAAAUUCAGCAAAGUAACAAACACUCCCAUGCAAAAAGCUGAAAAUGCAGAAGCAACAGCAUGAACUAAUUUUCUAUUGAUCUCCUCAGGAUGUGAUCAUGUUAAAAUGUUUAAUUUUCCCUUUAGAUGGAGAGGGAGGGGUUGUUGCUGAAACAGAACAGUCUAGGCAGCAAAACGCGUUCUAGGUAUGCUACUCUACAGAACUGCCAUGAUGGGAACAAUAAUAUACUGUCAGAAACAAAAGGUGUUAUUACAAAAGAAGUGAAAGUGUCUGCUUGAUACACUGUAUGUUAUUUAAUACCGUCAUGCAGAACAGAACGAUUGAAACAUUUGUAAUGCAUUCACAGCUGGGUAACAAAUAAAACUCUAUCUUGUGCAUGCUAGGAGUGGAGGGUCCUCAGAGAAGAAACAGAAGCCAAAACAAAACAAAACAAAAAGGGUUUACAGUGACCAUUCCUGGGAACUUACUCAGAGUCUUUGUUCCAUAACCGUCGUCACCUAAUCCGGGGAUGUCCUGCACGGAAGUCCCCAGAGAGAGCAAUGAGAAAGGAAGAACAGCCGCAGAAGAGGAAGGAAGAAGUCAGUGGAGUUGAAAUGGAUACUACCAUGACUGACCAUGUUGAUUGAGCAAUCUGGAUCCCUGCCUUUUCUUUCUGAAAUGAAUUUAGACCCAUAUUCUAUGGAAAUUCAGCCAAAGAAAGAGGCAGUGACUGUGAAACAUGUCUUUUGGAGUUGUGAGGAAGAAGGAACAACCAGAUAAAUAAAGUUCCAGAAACUGUCCUCAUUGGACAAAUUUAGGACAGAAUUGAUAAGAAAAUAAAAGGGAAUAUUUGGGCUUGGAACUAGCAAAUAUUUUUAAUAAUGCUGGUUCCUUAUAUAAUUUAAGCAAGCAAUAAAUGCUUGUGGUUGUACACAUUCCAAGAACCAGUUUAGUUCUUUAAGCUGUUAACAUGGUUGCUUCCCUUAAUUGUUAAACUUCCAGGGAAGUUGCCCAUGGAAAUCAACUUGGUGAAAGUCAAAGGCAAAAAAAAAGAUUAGAAUAGAUAUUUUAAAAACUAAUUAGUUUAGUAUUGUGAAAGAAAUCACGUUUGCCUUAUUUUGAGCCAAUUCUGAUCUGGGAAUAUUUCUGAGCGACAACUUUGGAUUUAUGACAGGUGUCACAACAACUCUGAGGAGCUAUAUUUCCGCUUCCAAAAGUUAAGGUCACUGCUUUAUUCUUCCGAAAAUAGUAUUUCCAGAGAUGGAAGGAGAAGCUGGAUCCAAACUGCAGUCAAACAUUGGUCACAGUAGUAAUACCUCUCCUGCCUGCCUAUGACAGAUAUUUGCCUGGAUGUGUGGGAUACUGGCAUCAUGCGUGUCACCCAUUUGUUGUGCUGCUGCAUGUGACAUCGUCUCCAAGAGGUUACUUACGUUCUGGAUCACUUGUUUCCUGCUCACUCUGCUCCUUGCUCUUGUAGAAUGGGAAUUUUCGUGAAAAGAUGAAGUUCUUUUUACGCUUGUCAUUGAAUGACUGUGAAGGAGAAAAGGCAUGGGGCAAAAACAGGGACGUCUAAUUGUUGUCACACUCAUGCUGACAAAACAACUAGUUUGUAAAAGUGGAGAGAACUGUAGUGACUCAAAUCAGCACAAACUAAGUGGCUGCAAAGAAUCAGGGGUGUGGUGAGGUCUGAAAUUUGAAGGCAAAGCUCCUGAAGACUGGAUCAAUUGGAUUCCAGAGGUCUGAAGUCACAAUGUGCAGCUCUUUACUUGGAAACUGUAGUGUUUAGAUUGUUUGGAUGAAGGGCUACAGAUGGUUCAGCAUGCUUUGAGAUCAAGGCAUCCAUCUUUAAUCACAGCAGACUGUGCAUAGAAUUAAUUAACUGUCUGAAAAGAACAGGCUGUAAUGUGGAAAGCAGAAGCCUUUGAUUUGCUUAUAGCGUGUGAAUUCAGCCCUGCGUCAAUUAAUAUUAAAAAUUCUUUACGGGUAGGUGCUGUUGAUUUUAUAAUGUCUUAUUUGGCCUCUUUAUUGACAACUUCUUACGUGUGUUUUAAUGCUUCUUUCGGGCAUAAUGAAAAAAAACCCAACUUUGUUUUAUUUUAUAGAUGUAUAUUUACAUAGGAUUCUCUGGAUAUACUUUUAGUUCUAAAUGAUUUAGAAAUGGAAUUCUGCUGAUAAGCAGGAUUCAUUGCAUGAUGAUCAACAUAUUUUGCUUGCAUGAUAAAACCUUUGACUUCAUAAAUAUUUUCAAGGACUUACAGGACUAUCCUGUGUAAAAACAGGAUUUGCCUACUUGGGACACUUAUUUCAGACACUAAAUAAGGAAACAGAGCCUCUGCAGAAUGAAUUGAAAGAAGCUGGCAGUCUUGAGGGCACACAGAGCUGCAGACUGUGUGUCUGAAGUGAUCUGUGCUGUCAGUCAGACAAUGACCUAUAAUGUCUCUUACACUGAACAUAGACAGAGGACUCUGCAAGUGAUGACCUUCAAGACAGCAGAGACCUUCUUAAAUAGUUUAAAGGACCAAUCUCAUGUGCUUGGCAUUGCUCAAAUUGAAUAUAACCAGUAUUUGGCUCCAGUUCUGCCACGGAAUAUAUUUUGAGUCUUAGAACACAACUUCUUUCCUUAUAUUUUGAAAUAAUGAAAUAAAAUGUGGUUUAAAAUAUGUAUUUCUGAAAGAUGGAUACUGAAAGUCUGUUCAAAUAGUUGCAUACUCAUGUCACGAAAGUUUCAUACCACUUUUACAUUUCAAGCAUAUUUAAAGUUUAGUAACUGAAAACAAAGAAAAAAUGCACAUGUAGAAUAAAUGAUCCAUGAAAAUCUCUCAGAGUAUGUAAACAUUCAAUGUGAAAUUAAAGUGGAGGUCAUGCACAAAUAAUCCAGACAGCAUGCAAAUUCAAAACAAAGCAAAGAAAGCCAGAGGAAUUAAAAAAAAAAAGCACAUGAAGGAUUAAAGUAAUCUAUGGAUGAAAGGAGGACUGACAUGCACAUUACAUCACUUUAAUGACCUAAUGGACAUAAUUAAAUUAAAAUGUGUUUUCUGUGAUAAUUUCUUUUACUUUUCCAAAUAAAGGAAUGUAGCAUGUUAAA